rnacentral:rRNA from 1 species
ACGCUGGCGGCAGGCUUAACACAUGCAAGUCGAACGGUAACAGGAGAAAGCUUGCUUUCUUGCUGACGAGUGGCGGACGGGUGAGUAAUGCUUGGGAAUCUGGCUUAUGGAGGGGGAUAACGACGGGAAACUGUCGCUAAUACCGCGUAGAGUCGAGAGACGAAAGUGCGGGACCGCAAGGCCGCAUGCCAUAGGAUGAGCCCAAGUGGGAUUAGGUAGUUGGUGGGGUAAUAGCCUACCAAGCCGACGAUCUCUAGCUGGUCUGAGAGGAUGACCAGCCACACCGGGACUGAGACACGGCCCGGACUCCUACGGGAGGCAGCAGUGGGGAAUAUUGCGCAAUGGGGGCAACCCUGACGCAGCCAUGCCGCGUGAAUGAAGAAGGCCUUCGGGUUGUAAAGUUCUUUCGGUAUUGAGGAAGGUUGUUGUGUUAAUAGCACGACAAAUUGACGUUAAAUACAAAAGAAGCACCGGCUAACUCCGUGCCAGCAGCCGCGGUAAUACGGAGGGUGCGAGCGUUAAUCGGAAUAACUGGGCGUAAAGGGCACGCAGGCGGACUUUUAAGUGAGGUGUGAAAUCCCCGGGCUCAACCUGGGAAUUGCAUUUCAGACUGGGAGUCUAGAGUACUUUAGGGAGGGGUAGAAUUCCACGUGUAGCGGUGAAAUGCGUAGAGAUGUGGAGGAAUACCGAAGGCGAAGGCAGCCCCUUGGGAAUGUACUGACGCUCAUGUGCGAAAGCGUGGGGAGCAAACAGGAUUAGAUACCCUGGUAGUCCACGCUGUAAACGCUGUCGAUUUGGGGAUUGGGCUUUAAGCUUGGUGCCCGAAGCUAACGUGAUAAAUCGACCGCCUGGGGAGUACGGCCGCAAGGUUAAAACUCAAAUGAAUUGACGGGGGCCCGCACAAGCGGUGGAGCAUGUGG